rnacentral:rRNA from 1 species
CAAGGGGCCCGAACGAUGCGGUAGCUGGUCUGAGAGGAUGACCAGCCACACUGGAACUGAGACACGGUCCAGACUCCUACGGGAGGCAGCAGUGGGGAAUAUUGGACAAUGGGGGCAACCCUGAUCCAGCAAUGCCGCGUGUGUGAAGAAGGCCUGAGGGUUGUAAAGCACUUUCAGUGGGGAGGAGGGUUGAUAGGUUAAGAGCUAAUUAACUGGACGUUACCCACAGAAGAAGCACCGGCUAACUCCGUGCCAGCAGCCGCGGUAAUACGGAGGGUGCGAGCGUUAAUCGGAAUUACUGGGCGUAAAGGGUGCGUAGGUGGUUGAUUAAGUUAUCUGUGAAAUUCCUGGGCUUAACCUGGGACGGUCAUAUAAUACUGGUUGACUCAAGUAUGGGAGAGGGUUGUGGAAUUUUCGGUGUUCGGUGAAAUGCUUA